rnacentral:lncRNA from 1 species
CCACACUUCAUGGGCACGAGGGUGCCUGCCUGUGGGAUGCUCUGCUCGUCUGGGAGCGCGGAAGGAGAGACCGAACCCGAUUCCGGGACGGGGAGGGGACGCGGUGCCGCACUGCUCAGGGUGCCCAGCACCCCGGCUUCAACGCCUAGCGCCGCCCCUGAUUCCUUCAGUCACCUGUGUAAUGCUCGGUGCUUUGAAAUCUCUCCGAUCUGAAGCACUCGGUUACUGAUGGCUGAGAAAAUAUGGGAGGGAGCACAAUCAGUUCUCCAAUCACGAACACGCACUGCACCGGCAGGGUCUCGGCUUUGCUGCAGGCCUCCCUGCAUGCACAGUGCCGAAGUGCGCCGUGACCGUCACUCGCCUCAACGCCCGGUCGCAGCGCAGCCUUCCUGGGGCGUGCGAGGUGUCCUGACAGUUCACACGCACAGUGCCAGUCAUGGGCACGGGCGGUGCUGAGGCGACGAUGUCGCUGGUGGGACCGGCGUUGGUGUGAGUGGCCAAGGCUGAAACUGCGCGUCCUCCGCAGCUGAAGCACAGCUGUGACCGCCACGGACUGCGGCAUGCACUGGUUUCAGCGAUGCUGAAAGGCGAGAAAAAUGUACCUCUCAGAAUGGCUGGAAUGGGCGCGCACACGCGGGCGACGCAAACCGCACCGAGAGGACGUUGUCUGCUCACAAAGGCCUUCUUGUCGCUGUUCCCAUCCGACAGCCUCACGCACACUCCAGUGCUGCGCUGCUGUUGGCUUGGGCUGGCCUGGUUUUGUGCGCUGGACGCCAGCGUGAGCACACUUCUCAUGAAAGGGGAACACGGACGCCGGCGCGGGCCCCUGCAGGAGCGCUUCCUCUCUCUGCCCCCUCCAGCAGGUGAGGACGAGCCCUGGGCGGCCCGGACUGCGCAGCAGGCUGACCAUAGUCAGACUUCACUGGCCCAGGCCCAAGGGCGCAGGGAAGGCACAGCUCUUGGACCCGGGAGGCAAAGCCGAGAGGCCUCCCAGGCUCCGUGCUGCGCCCUGUGGCAGAGGCGUGGCACAGCGUCGCGCUGCCCACCUCCCCAGCCCUGGACCCAUGGGCUUCCCUCGGGCACUGUAAUGCUGGCUUUAGGCGUCACCUUCUGUAGUCAUUUCCUUGAAAUCACCCUCAGAGGCAGCAUCUCUUCUUCAUUUUGUCCUUUCCAGAUUUUUACUGUCCAGCAGUCGGGAGAUCCCAGAGAGCGAGAAGCCUGUCCGGUGGUCACUGACCAGUGGCCCGUGCGAUGUUUGGCCACACAUGGGACUCCAUGUGCCGACCUCAGCCUCCAGCUACAGGGCAGGGCCACGCAAGCUCCUCUGCGGAUUGACGUGAGGCCACACAGGCAGUGCCACAGGCCGGGGAGAGAGGGACGCAGGCCUGAGAGUGAGGACCCAAGGAACCAUGCUCCUCCUCAGGGCCCUGCGCCCCUCCAGUCCCUGCCACCUCAGUCACCUUGGAGGUGCCGGAAGUCCUAA